rnacentral:lncRNA from 1 species
GCUGAGUCUGGACGCAAAAGGUCCUCCGAGUAACUCUGCCAGAGGAAUUUCUCCUGUUCACCCAAAGAAACCACAGCGGAAGUCCCUUCCUAAACUGCCUUCUGAAAAGGCUACCAUAUUGAAUUCCAUGAAGGAGGAAAAGAUCACCUUUUCGAAAGCAGCUAAUGAGGAAAAUACCACUUCAUCAAAAGCACCUAAUGAGGAAAAUACCACCUCAUCGAAUGCAACAAAGGAAGUUGCAUCUCCUACAGAAGAGCAGGAGCAGAUUCCUACAGCUGAGCCAGAAGAAACCCAGUUUCAUAAGGAUGAGGGACUGGUGGCUGAAGAGCAAGCUCAGCCUACCCUUGUACAAGAACCCAUAGCGUUGGAGAAUUAAGUUAAGAAGCAGUUGGAAUUUUGGAAUUGGAUGCUUAUACAAAGCUGUCGGCUUCUUUCUUCGUAAAUAAGAAAGGUUUGAGACAGAAAUUA